GCCGCCCUAGCUCAGCGGUAGAGCAGCGCAAUUGUAAUGCGAAGGUCGGGUGUUCGAAUCACCUGGGCGGCC
rnacentral:tRNA from 1 species